CCUACGGGAGGCAGCAGUGGGGAAUUUUGGACAAUGGGCGCAAGCCUGAUCCAGCAAUGCCGCGUGCAGGAUGAAGGCCUUCGGGUUGUAAACUGCUUUUGUACGGAACGAAAAAGUCUGCCCUAAUACGGUGGGCCCAUGACGGUACCGUAAGAAUAAGCACCGGCUAACUACGUGCCAGCAGCCGCGGUAAUACGUAGGGUGCGAGCGUUAAUCGGAAUUACUGGGCGUAAAGCGUGCGCAGGCGGUUAUAUAAGACAGAUGUGAAAUCCCCGGGCUCAACCUGGGACCUGCAUUUGUGACUGUAUAGCUAGAGUACGGUAGAGGGGGAUGGAAUUCCGCGUGUAGCAGUGAAAUGCGUAGAUAUGCGGAGGAACACCGAUGGCGAAGGCAAUCCCCUGGACCUGUACUGACGCUCAUGCACGAAAGCGUGGGGAGCAAAACAGGAUUAGAUACCCUGGUAGUCCACGCCCUAAACGAUGUCAACUGGUUGUUGGGUCUUCACUGACUCAGUAACGAAGCUAACGCGUGAAGUUGACCGCCUGGGGAGUAACGGCCGCAAGGUUGAAACUUCAAAGGAAUUGACGG
rnacentral:rRNA from 1 species